rnacentral:snRNA from 1 species
AUACUUUUCUCGGUCUUUUGGCUAAGAUAAAGUGAAGUAUUUGUUCUUAUCGGUUUAAUAUCUAAUAUGUGGGCUAUCGGCUCACAUGAUAUUCUCUCUAUCAUAU